AGCAGCAUGGCGCAGUGGUAGCGCGCGGGGCCCAUGAUACAUGCUGCGCAGUCUGAUAAUUAUGCACCCCGAGGUCAACUUGAUCGAUACAAGUUGCUGCUA